rnacentral:misc_RNA from 1 species
UAACUGUUUUUGUCUAGAAGGCGCAGUAUUCGAUGUUCGAUGACGAAAUAGCGUGUAUUCCGAACGAUCAGAAUACUGCAGCACAAGCUCGUCUGUUAAGAAACUUCUUUUUCAUUCUUGGUAUUUCUUGUAGCGAUACAACACAUUAUUCUUGCUUUCGGUACGACAGAAAUGCAUAACCACUUUGUUAAUUCUAUAAUGUAAUUCUUUGCCGGUUGUAUCGAUUAAAAAGGUAGUGCCUCAACUAUCUUAGAUAUACAAUAUCAACAAGUAAUCGCGAAAUAUGCAUUAUUCUAUGUAUGUAUGUAUAUGUAUAUAUAUGUCUUCUUUAUAAUAUUUAUAUUUAUAUAUAUAUUCCAUUUUUUUGUUCAUUAUACUCUUGUUGUAUGUGGGGCAUAUAUAAAUACGUGACUAGUUUUCAAAAACGAAAAUCCCUUCGCUCGCGUUGCGCAUUCAAAUAUUUCUUUUUUUUUUUUUUUACUUCAUAUUCAUCAAUUCAUUUCGCAUCAUCUUGUCAUACAUAUAAUUGUCUAGCACACACUCGUACAUGUAUAUCGUAUAUACGACGCUUCUUAUAUUUUUUCUUUUUUACAUUUACUUCGUUUGUUACAGCCUUUAAGCAUCUUAUUUAAAUUCUGCAAGCGUGACUGAAAAUUAAGAAUCGAGUUACGCAUGCUCUCCAAUCUAAGUGUAGAAGGAUCGUUACG